GUAUCAUCUUGCUGUAACUUACCAUAUAGUGAUUAAACAUAGAAUGUGACGGCAGAUAAGAGCCAUUCGCCCCAUCUAGUCUGCCCAAUUUUCUUUAUACUUACAGUAGUCUCUUAUAUCUAGGAUAACCUUAUGCCUAUCCCACGCAUGCUUAAACUAACCUCUGCCACUUUCCAUGCAUCCACUACCCUCUCAGUAAAGAAAUACUUCCGGAUAUUAUUUUUAA